rnacentral:rRNA from 1 species
GAUGGACGCUGGCGGCGUGCCUAAUACAUGCAAGUCGAGCGAACAGAUGAGGAGCUUGCUCCUCUGACGUUAGCGGCGGACGGGUGAGUAACACGUGGAUAACCUACCUAUAAGACUGGGAUAACUUCGGGAAACCGGAGCUAAUACCGGAUAAUAUAUUGAACCGCAUGGUUCAAUAGUGAAAGACGGUUUUGCUGUCACUUAUAGAUGGAUCCGCGCCGCAUUAGCUAGUUGGUAAGGUAACGGCUUACCAAGGCAACGAUGCGUAGCCGACCUGAGAGGGUGAUCGGCCACACUGGAACUGAGACACGGUCCAGACUCCUACGGGAGGCAGCAGUAGGGAAUCUUCCGCAAUGGGCGAAAGCCUGACGGAGCAAAGCCGCGUGAGUGAUGAAGGUCUUCGGAUCGUAAAACUCUGUUAUUAGGGAAGAACAAAUGUGUAAGUAACUAUGCACGUCUUGACGGUACCUAAUCAGAAAGCCACGGCUAACUACGUG